CUCUGCUCAUCAGCUAUCAAUGACCAGUAGUUGCCUACUUACAAAAAUAAAACUUUUUUAUUCCGAUAUUUAAGGCAGCUUAUAGUUGCUUUGGUUUGAAUGUGUCCUCCAAAUUUUAUGUAUUAGAAACUGAAUCCCCAAAUUCAUAUGUAGAUUGGAGGUAGGGCCAAUGGAAAGUAAUUAGAAUUAGACAAGGUCUUCAGGGUGGUACUCCCAUGAUGGGACUGAUGGAUUUAUAAGAAGAAGAGAGACCUGAGCUGACAAGCAUGCUCCUGUCUUCUUGCCAUGUGAUGCCUUCUGCCAUGUUUUGACACAGCAAGAAGGUCCUCACAAGAUGCUGGCCUUCCAAGUAAGACACUUGGACUUCUAAGCUUCCAGAACUAACCCUUGAUUCCUGGCUGAAAGCUGCUCUGUGAACAUGAAGAGUCUCCUUUUUUGACCACCUUCCUUCUGGUACCCCAGAGAGUAAAUGGUUCUUGUGACUUAGAAGCUGUUCCUCUUUGCCCAGACACUCAAAUGUGCCUUUCCAUGGGAGCAGAGACACUGAAAUUGAUGAAAUUGACACUGAAAUCUAUGCGGAUUCUGUUGUUUUUCUCUAGCUGAGAAUGAAUGAGUAAUGAGUGAGUGAGCAUUCACCUGCUGAGUAUCUGUGAUGUCUGAAGCACUUUGAUAGGCGCUUUUUCCUGGCCUCUUUUUUAGACCUCACAGUGACCAAUGUGCUUCUGAACAAAUCCCAGAGGAAUUAAAUGGUUUGCUCCAGUUCACUUAGAAAGCAGCAAAACUGUGUGACUCAAACCAGGCUUCUCAGCUUCUCCCCUCAGAUCUAAUGCCUUUCACACAACAUUUUUUUUUUCAUCUGUACUGAUACAUACUAGAGGACAAUCCAAUGAAAUAAAAAUGUACUUAUGUAGAAGUACGAUGCAUACAAUAGCCUAUGGUGGAAUUUGGGCCAAUUUUUUUGAGCUGAGCAGAAUUCAGAAAAGGAGAAAAGAAACAGAGAAACCAUUAAAGACUGGAAGAGUAUGAGCAAAGGAGGUUGCACAUGUCACUAGAAUGGGUUGGAGGCCAGCAAGAACAUCUGUAUAGACAGCUUUCAUUCAGAAGCUCUGCCUCUGUAACCUUGAAAUUCUGGACUCCAAGGUGAUUUCCUGGGUUUUUGUUUCCUUUUUCCAGAGCUCCAAAGAGCACAGCACAUUGUUUGCCUGAGUUACCCAUUCACUCGACAGAUAGUGAUUGAGUUGCUUCUUUAUGCCUAGCCUUGUAUUAGACACCUGGGAUCCAACAGAGAGCAAGACAGGCAUGGUGCUUGCCCAUGAAAAUUCUAGAGAGACAGUAAGCAAGUAAGCAAUGACUAAAUAAGAUAAUUGAUUGUGCUGUGAAAGCAAUAAAUAGGGAAAUGAGAUAGAGAGUAACUGGGAGAGGGCGGGAAGACCUCUCUGAAUAGGUGAUAUUUGAGCUAAGACCUGAGGGACUAAAGGGAGCCAGUCAUGCAAACACAGAGAUGGCAUUCUCAGCAUUAGGAAUAACCAACUCACUGAGAAGGGACAUAAUGGAAGCUGGUGUGCUUGGCAUCCAGUGAGCAGGCAAGAUGUGGUGUGGGAUGACAGGAAGGCAGGAGCCAGAAGUGGAAGGUCAUUUUAGGUCAUGUGAAGGAGUCUGGAUUUUAUUCUAAGUCUAAUUGGAAGCGGGAAAGUGACAUGAUCUGAUUUACAUUUUUAGCAAGAUCCCUCUGGUUGUUAGAAAAUGGGCUGGGAGGCAGGGUGGGACUUAGCAAUCACAUUCAGGGAGCAGUUGUGGUCACUCGUAGAAAAAGGAAAUCCUCUAGAAUAACCUGAACAAUAUAACAAUCACACUUUUGAUACCACCUUUUUCCUGUUGUCAAGAGAGCAGCUGAUUCAUGAAUAUCUUUUGUUGUCUUGUAAUAGCAAUAGCAAUUUCUCUUUAAAAAACAUAUUUAUUCUGCUUUGCAACUUGCUUUCUAAAAAGUUAACAUAUUAUGAGCUAUCUUGAAUUUAUUAAUUAUUUUACUACAUAUUUUUUGAUGGUUGCAUAUUAUUCCAGCAUAUUGAUAUGUUUUUGUGAAAUAAACUUUCACUGUUAUAAAUAGUGCUGCAAUGCUCAAUCUUAAAGACAAAACUUGGUGAAUAUCUUUGACAUUUUCCUAAGAAAAAAUUCCCAGUGAUAGAACUGCUGUUUUAAAGAAAAACUUUCUGGAACCUUUCUUUUGAUGCACAUCGCUAAAUUCUGCUCCAAGAGUUCUUAUUUAUUCACACUUUUAUCAACUUUUUCCAACACAGAAAAUUAUCAAAUUUUUUAAAGUAAAAUGCUGGUCCCUUGAUAGCUAUGAAACAGUACUCUAAUUUUUUUUGUAAA
rnacentral:lncRNA from 10 species